rnacentral:rRNA from 1 species
UACGAGAGGCCCAAACGUUAUUCGGAAUUACUGGGUUUAAAGGGUGCGUAGGUGGGCAGGUAAGUCAGUGGUGAAAUCUCCGGGCUUAACCCGGAAACUGCCAUUGAUACUAUCGGUCUUGAAUACCGUGGAGGUGAGCGGAAUAUGUCGUGUAGCGGUGAAAUGCUUAGAUAUGACAUAGAACACCAAUUGCGAAGGCAGCUCACUACACGAAUAUUGACACUGAGGCACGAAAGCGUGGGGAUCAAACAGG